rnacentral:rRNA from 1 species
AUGCUCGCGCCAGCUCUAGGCUCCAUCGGAGGCAUACGCGGAGGCGCGGGACUUGCACGCCUCUCCUCUGCCCCACUCCCUUCGAAUCCAGUCGCACAAGUGCUUGAGGAGACGCUCGAGCUUGGCAUGCUCGUCGGCGACGCCGGGCCCCUCCCUGCUCCUGAUGCCUCCCUCACCGUCACCGCCAUGAGCCUCUCCACCCCCUCCCGCGCGAUUGUCCGGGUCCAUUUGGCCGGAUUAUGUGCCGAUGAUAUGAUUGCGGUGAAUAAUAUGGGUUGCCUAUGUGCUCAUGAAACUAAAAAUUCUUCAAAAGGUGGUCUUCCAAUGAAAUUUGAAAUAUAA